AUAACACUAGGUUAUCACAAUUUUUCUGAUGGCUUUAAUAGUCACUCAAUUUAUUUAAUAAUGUUAUUUAUUAUUUUCAGAGAUUCCAAUGCAUAGUUUCCCAGAUGCUGUCAAUUUCUUGAGCAGUUUAAAACUUGGGUCAGUCUUGUUGGUGGAAACAUUUAGACAUCUGAUCUUGAAUGUUAUAAGAAGAAGAGAAUUUGUGAUAUACACUUUUCUGACAGACACAGAAAUCAUAAUCAAUGGCUAAGCACAUUGGCAGUUCCGAUGCUUCAUCUGCUUGGACAACUACAGAGUCAAGUAAUCUUAGGACAAGCUUCAUCCACACAACAUUUACUGCCUACAAUAAUACAGCAAGACUGUUCACAGCCAUAUGUGAGCAACUUUAUUUUAGAAAAAGCAUCAA